rnacentral:lncRNA from 1 species
UCAUUGCCUUUGGAGGCCCAGCUCAGUGCACUCCUCUCUGUUCAGCUUCUCAGAGGCUGUGGUCUUCCAGUCACAGGAGGACAGUGAAGAAUGGCAUCGUCUUUGGCCCAGCUCAUCCAGGGGCUCUUGUGCCUGACACAUGAGUAAAAUAUCUGCAUGUCCCUUCCUAGCUCCAUCUCUUGUGAUGUUCUCCAUCUGCCAGACUCCAAAAGGGCAGGAGGGAUGAGAAGAAGAAGAGACCAUACUUUGCUCUAAUCCCCAGCAAUAAUAACUAACAAUAUUUGUCCCUUGUAUAGUAUCAACGACGGGGUCUUGUGAUGUUCAGCCUGUUUGUUUUUUUUUUUUUUUAAAGGUAGUUUUAUAUGUGGCUUCUGUCAGGAAUGAAUGAUGUAUAAACCUACACUUGGAUCCACUAGGAGAAUCACUUUUGCCUCUCCCUGAGCCCUAUCACCGCCUGGGCUGCAAAACCCUAUUUGUAUCAUAGGGAACACACUGAGCCUCAUUAAGACAGAACUUUAUAAAGGAGAUGCAGAAGUGGGGGAAGACCAGGGGUAAUUAAAGUAGCAUUUUAACCAGAAUGUUACUCCAAGAGUCAGGCCACGUCCGCUCACAUAUGACAGGAUCCGGGAGGGUUCUUUAAUUAAGGACUUGGUGAGGUGGACACAAAACUGUAUUGAACGUGACUGAGCCCGGCCCACACAGAGAGAAGAAAUAAAUACUCUUGUCAGAGUUCUAUACAUAAACUACAAGCUUCGUCGUGAGGGCUGAGUCCCAUUUCCACGUCCCGCGGGAACUCGGGCGAACCUGGGAGCUGGCAGGAACUCCUCCUCCUCCUCCAGCCUCUCCUGUUCACGACUUUGGGGAACCUCCAGAGCUGCCUGCGCUGGGAAUUCCACCUUUUCCCUCUAGGCAUUCAGUGCCAAGUCCGUGGUCUUUGUUUCUGCAAGUCUUCAACGCUCCUUAGAAGCACAGCCUCUGAGGAGGCUCCGCGGUCCUCCCGUGAGCUUCGCAUGAUCUGCUGUGGAGGGCCCUGAAGGGGAGAGGAAGAAUUCUCCCUCUCCUGCACCACGUUAAAGUGCAAAUGAAAGAUCCCCGAGCAAAGCUGUGGCGCAUCAGGACAGAAUACCAGAGUGAGUGCAAGUGGAGGCCGCUGGGCACAGCAGGCAGGUGAGCACAGAGGAGGGAAGAGAAGUCCUGGGGCACCAGGGGGGUGGACUUC